GCCACGCCCCCCGCUUUGGCCACGCCCCUCCCGGGCGCCCCCCGUCUCCGCGCACUGAGAGCCGGGCGGAAGUCUUUGGGGGCUGGCGACGGAAGUGACGUCAGAGCUCGUGCUGCGUGAGGGACAAUGGCGGAGGCGGGGGAGAGCGGAGCGAGACUCGCUCGGGAGCUGGAGGCCCCUGGAGGGACUGCAGCAGCCCUUGUUUAUGGCCAGCUUCUGGCUUUGUACCUGCUGCACAGCAACUUGUGAGUGGCUUCUCUCCACCUGUGCCUUCAGACCCGGGGUUUGUCACCAGCAGCUCGAGCUGCAGCCGCCAGACUGUGAGGAAUUGGUUGUGAAUAACACGCGGUAUCUCUGGAAAAGAAUCGCUCCUGCCAUCAGAUCUAAACAAUGUCUGAAGUUCCUGAAGCAGCGACAGCAGCGACAGCAGCAGCCUGGAUUGAUCCACAGGCAGGACAGUCUUGUCCCGGGCCAGGAUUUCACUGGAGUGUCAUCAGCUCCGUGGGAAUUCCUUGAAGGCUGGUUUGGGUUGGAAGGGACCAUGAAGACAAUCAGGACUCUGGCAUCCGAAUUCACAGCAAAGAGCACGUCCAGAAGUGCCUCCUCACCCUCCUGCAUGUCAUGA
ensembl:lncRNA